GAUGAACGCUGGCGGCGUGCCUAAUACAUGCAAGUCGAGCGAACGGACGAGAAGCUUGCUUCUCUGAUGUUAGCGGCGGACGGGUGAGUAACACGUGGAUAACCUACCUAUAAGACUGGGAUAACGUCGGGAAACCGGAGCUAAUACCGGAUAAUAUUUUGAACCGCAUGGUUAAAAAGUGAAAGACGGUCUUGCUGUCACUUAUAGAUGGAUCCGCGCUGCAUUAGCUAGUUGGUAAGGUAACGGCUUACCAAGGCAACGAUGCAUAGCCGACCUGAGAGGGUGAUCGGCCACACUGGAACUGAGACACGGUCCAGACUCCUACGGGAGGCAGCAGUAGGGAAUCUUCCGCAAUGGGCGAAAGCCUGACGGAGCAACGCCGCGUGAGUGAUGAAGGUCUUCGGAUCGUAAAACUCUGUUAUUAGGGAAGAACAUAUGUGUAAGUAACUGUGCACAUCUUGACGGUACCUAAUCAGAAAGCCACGGCUAACUACGUG
rnacentral:rRNA from 1 species